rnacentral:rRNA from 1 species
CACAUGCAAGUCGAACGGCAGCACGGGCUUCGGCCUGGUGGCGAGUGGCGAACGGGUGAGUAAUGCAUCGGAACGUGCCCAUGUCGUGGGGGAUAACGUAGCGAAAGCUACGCUAAUACCGCAUACGCCCUGAGGGGGAAAGCGGGGGAUUCUUCGGAACCUCGCGCGAUUGGAGCGGCCGAUGUCGGAUUAGCUAGUAGGUGAGGUAAAGGCUCACCUAGGCGACGAUCCGUAGCGGGUCUGAGAGGCAUGAUUCCGCCACACUGGGACUGAGAACACGGCCCUAGACUCCUACGGGAGGCAGCAGUGGGGAAUUUUGGACAAUGGGGGCAACCCUGAUCCAGCCAUGCCGCGUGAGUGAAGAAGGCCUUCGGGUUGUAAAGCUCCUUUCCGGCCGGGAAGAAAAUCCGGCGACUCUAACAUAGUCGCUGGAUGACGGUACCGGACUAAGAAGCACCGGCUAAACUACGUGCCAGCAGCCGCGGUAAUACGUAGGGUGCGAGCGUUAAUCGGAAUUACUGGGCGUAAAGCGUGCGCAGGCGGUUUUGUAAGACAGAUGUGAAAUCCCCGGGCUUAACCUGGGAACUGCGUUUGUGACUGCAAGGCUAGAGUACGGCAGAGGGGGGUGGAAUUCCACGUGUAGCAGUGAAAUGCGUAGAGAUGUGGAGGAACACCGAUGGCGAAGGCAGCCCCCUGGGCCUGUACUGACGCUCAUGCACGAAAGCGUGGGGAGCAAACAGGAUUAGCUACCCUGGUAGUCCACGCCCUAAACGAUGUCGACUAGUCGUUCGGAGCAGCAAUGCACUGAGUGACGCAGCUAACGCGUGAAGUCGACCGCCUGGGGAGUACGGCCGCAAGGUUAAAACUCAAAGGAAUUGACGGGGACCCGCACAAGCGGUGGAUGAUGUGGAUUAAUUCGAUGCAACGCGAAAAACCUUACCUACCCUUGACAUGUCUGGAACCUUGGUGAGAGCCGAGGGUGCCUUCGGGAGCCAGAACACAGGUGCUGCAUGGCUGUCGUCAGCUCGUGUCGUGAGAUGUUGGGUUAAAGUCCCGCAACGAGCGCAACCCUUGUCACUAGUUGCCAUCAAUUUGGUUGGGGCACUCUAGUGAGACUGCCGGUGACAAACCGGAGGAAGGUGGGGAUGACGUCAAGUCCUCAUGGCCCUUAUGGGUAGGGCUUCACACGUCAUACAAUGGUCGGUACAGAGGGUUGCCAAGCCGCGAGGUGGAGCCAAUCCCUUAAAGCCGAUCGUAGUCCGGAUCGUAGUCUGCAACUCGACUACGUGAAGUCGGAAUCGCUAGUAAUCGCAGAUCAGCAUGCUGCGGUGAAUACGUUCCCGGGUCUUGUACACACCGCCCGUCACACCAUGGGAGUGGGUUUCACCAGAAGUAGGUAGCUUAACCUUCGGGAGGGCGCUUACCACGG